CCUGGCGGCGAUAGCGCGGUGGUCCCACCUGACCCCAUGCCGAACUCAGAAGUGAAACGCCGUAGCGCC
rnacentral:rRNA from 5 species